UGGGGAAUAUUGCGCAAUGGGGGAAACCCUGACGCAGCAACGCCGCGUGAGUGAGGAAGGUCUUCGGAUUGUAAAGCUCUGUCACUGUGGAAAAAUGGUUCUUGGUCUAAUAGGCCAGGAAAGUGACGGUACACAGAGAGGAAGCACCGGCUAACUUCGUGCCAGCAGCCGCGGUAAUACGAAGGGUGCAAGCGUUGUUCGGAUUUAUUGGGCGUAAAGCGCGCGCAGGCGGGCUAUUAAGCCAGAUGUGAAAUCUCGGGGCUCAACCCCGAAACUGCGUCUGGAACUGGUAGUCUAGAGUACUGGAGGGGAUAGGGGAAUUUCGCAUGUAGGGGUAAAAUCCGUAGAGAUGCGAAGGAACACCAGCGGGGAAACCGCCUAUCUGGACAGUCACUGACGCUGAGGCGCGAAAGCGUGGGGAUCAAACAGG
rnacentral:rRNA from 1 species